UGCAUUCUCUACUGUAAGUCGCUCUGGAUAAGAGCGUCUGCUAAAUUACUAAAA
rfam:Salmo salar isolate Sally breed double haploid chromosome ssa12, whole genome shotgun sequence.